rnacentral:rRNA from 1 species
CGUAAGAAGUUGAGUGGCGGACGGGUGAGUAACACGUGGGUAACCUGCCUAAAAGAAGGGGAUAACACUUGGAAACAGGUGCUAAUACCGUAUAUCUCUAAGGAUCGCAUGAUCCUUAGAUGAAAGAUGGUUCUGCUAUCGCUUUUAGAUGGACCCGCGGCGUAUUAACUAGUUGGUGGGGUAACGGCCUACCAAGGUGAUGAUACGUAGCCGAACUGAGAGGUUGAUCGGCCACAUUGGGACUGAGACACGGCCCAAACUCCUACGGGAGGCAGCAGUAGGGAAUCUUCCACAAUGGACGCAAGUCUGAUGGAGCAACGCCGCGUGAGUGAAGAAGGUCUUCGGAUCGUAAAACUCUGUUGUUAGAGAAGAACACGAGUGAGAGUAACUGUUCAUUCGAUGACGGUAUCUAACCAGCAAGUCACGGCUAACUACGUGCCAGCAGCCGCGGUAAUACGUAGGUGGCAAGCGUUGUCCGGAUUUAUUGGGCGUAAAGGGAACGCAGGCGGUCUUUUAAGUCUGAUGUGAAAGCCUUCGGCUUAACCGGAGUAGUGCAUUGGAAACUGGAAGACUUGAGUGCAGAAGAGGAGAGUGGAACUCCAUGUGUAGCGGUGAAAUGCGUAGAUAUAUGGAAGAACACCAGUGGCGAAAGCGGCUCUCUGGUCUGUAACUGACGCUGAGGUUCGAAAGCGUGGGUAGCAAACAGGAUUAGAUACCCUGGUAGUCCACGCCGUAAACGAUGAAUGCUAGGUGUUGGAGGGUUUCCGCCCUUCAGUGCCGCAGCUAACGCAAUAAGCAUUCCGCCUGGGGAGUACGACCGCAAGGUUGAAACUCAAAGGAAUUGACGGGGGCCCGCACAAGCGGUGGAGCAUGUGGUUUAAUUCGAAGCAACGCGA